rnacentral:pre_miRNA from 10 species
AACCGCACUAUCGAUGAAUGGAUUCACCCGCGAGAUGACGAGGUUGUUUCACCUAGGACGAGGACAUGGCAUCCUAAACCAGCCAUUACACGAAAUUAAUAGGAUGUCACGUUCUCCUCCUAGAUGGAACAACCACGUCAUCUCACGAGUGAAUCCAUUCAUCAAUAGUGUGGUU